rnacentral:rRNA from 1 species
ACGGGUGAGUAACGCGUGGGCAACCUACCUAUGACAGGGGGAUAACACAGGGAAACUUGUGCUAAUACCGCAUAACAUCAUGAAGAGACAUCUUUUUAUGAUCAAAGGAGCAAUCCGGUGAUAGAUGGGCCCGCGUCCGAUUAGCUAGUUGGUGAUGUAACGGACCACCAAGGCGACGAUCGGUAGCCGAACUGAGAGGUUGAUCGGCCACAUUGGGACUGAGACACGGCCCAGACUCCUACGGGAGGCAGCAGUGGGGAAUAUUGCGCAAUGGGGGAAACCCUGACGCAGCAACGCCGCGUGAAGGAUGAAGGUUUUCGGAUCGUAAACUUCUUUGAUUGGGGACGAAUAAUGACGGUACCCAAAAAACAAGCCACGGCUAACUACGUGCCAGCAGCCGCGGUAAUACGUAGGUGGCGAGCGUUGUCCGGAAUUACUGGGUGUAAAGGGCGUGUAGGCGGGAAUGCAAGUCAGAUGUGAAAUACCGUGGCUUAACCACGGGGCUGCAUCUGAAACUGUGUUUCUUGAGUGUCGGAGAGGAAAGUGGAAUUCCCAGU